GAUGAACGCUAGCGGCAGGCUUAAUACAUGCAAGUCGAGGGGCAGCGCAGGUAGCAAUACUGGGCGGCGACCGGCAAACGGGUGCGGAACACGUACAGAACCUUCCUUUAAGCGGGGGAUAGCCCAGAGAAAUUUGGAUUAAUACCCCAUAGUAAUAUUUGAUGGCAUCAUUAGAUAUUUAAAGAUUUAUCACUUAAAGAUGGCUGUGCGGCUGAUUAGGUAGUUGGNGUGGGUAACGGCCUACCAAGCCUUCGAUCAGUAACUGGUGUGAGAGCACGACCAGUCACACGGGCACUGAGACACGGGCCCGGACUCCUACGGGAGGCAGCAGUAAGGAAUAUUGGUCAAUGGACGCAAGUCUGAACCAGCCAUGCCGCGUGAAGGAUGAAGGCCCUCUGGGUUGUAAACUUCUCUUAUCUGGGAAGAAAUGCC
rnacentral:rRNA from 1 species